GUGCUUGCUUCAGCGGUAUGGGCACCAAAACUGGAACGGCACAGAGGUGAUUGGUAUGGCCCCUGCAUAAGGGUAAUACACACAUCUGAGAAGCGUUGUAUGUUAGG
ensembl:snRNA LOC120093312 U6 spliceosomal RNA